CGAAAUGCGAUAAGUAAUGUGAAUUGCAGAAUUCAGUGAAUCAUCGAAUCUUUGAACGCACAUUGCGCCCUUUGGCAUUCCGAAGGGCAUGCCUGUUCGAGCGUCAUUACACCAAUCACGCCUGGCGUGGUGUUGGGCGACGGGGCGAGUCACAUCGCCCCGCGCCUCAAUGAUCUUUCCGGCGGGACGGACCGUAUCUCAGCGUUGUGCAAACGAGUCGCUGGCGAUGUGCGGGACGGCCGUGCCGUUAAACCCCCCAUUUUCUCAUGGUUGACCUCGGAUCAGGUAGGGAUACCCGCUGAACUUAAGC
rnacentral:misc_RNA from 1 species